rnacentral:rRNA from 1 species
CGAGAGUUUGAUCCUGGCUCAGAAUCAACGCUGGCGGCGUGCCUCAGACAUGCAAGUCGAACGAUUAAACUUUCCUUCGGGGAAGAUAUAAAGUGGCGCACGGGUGAGUAACACGUAAGUAAUCUACCUUCGGAUGGGGAAUAACAGUCGGAAACGACUGCUAAUACCGCAUAAUGCAGCGGCACCUAAUGGUGACAGUUGUUAAAGUAUUUAUACGUCUGAAGAGGAGCUUGCGGCAGAUUAGCUAGUUGGUAAGGUAAUGGCUUACCAAGGCGACGAUCUGUAGCCGACCUGAGAGGGUGGUCGGUCACACUGACACUGAAUAACGGGUCAGACUCCUACGGGAGGCAGCAGUCGGGAAUUUUGGGCAAUGGGCGAAAGCCUGACCCAGCAACGCCGCGUGAAGGAUGAAGUCUUUCGGGAUGUAAACUUCGU